rnacentral:tRNA from 1 species
AGCAACAGGGGUUCUCACGACCCGACCUUUGGCUUACAAGACCACUGUUCUUGCUGAACUACUAUUGC